ACCCAAUCCCGACACGGGGAGGUAGUGACAAGAAAUAACAAUACCGGAUCUUUCUAGAUCUGGUAAUUGGAAUGAGUACAAUCUAAAUUCCUUAACAAGGACCCAUUGGAGGGCAAGUCUGGUGCCAGCAGCCGCGGUAAUACCAGCUCCAAUAGCGUAUAUUAAAGUUGUUGCAGUUAAAAGGCUCGUAGUCGAACUUUUGGUUCUUUAGGUUUGUCCCGUUCUCUUGUAGAACGUUGUGACGAUUCUUAGAACCUUCCUGGUAGAAAGCGUUUCUGCCCUUUAUUGGGUUGGUUGCGCGAUCUGCCUCUUUUACUGUGAGAAAAACAAAGUGCUCAAAGCAGGCUUUACAGCUUGAAUGCGUUAGCAUGGAAUAAUAAGAUAGGACUUUGUUUCUAUUUUGUUGGCUCUGAGGAACAAAGUAAUGAUUGAUAGGGAUAGUUGGGGGUGCUCGUAUUUAACGGUCAGCGGUGAAAUGCAUGGACCCGUUAAAGACGAACCUAUGCGAAAGCAUUCACCAAGGAUAUCUUCUUUGAUCAAGAACGAAAGUUGGGGGAUCGAAGACGAUCAGAUACCGUCGUAGUCUCAACCAUAAACUAUGCCGACUAGGGAUUGGCGGCAGUUGAUCAUUGACCCCGUCAGCACCUUAUGAGAAAUCAAAGUCUUUGG
rnacentral:rRNA from 1 species